GACAGCAGUAGCCGCGGGAAUACAGAGGGUGCGAGCGUUAAUCGGAUUUACUGGGCGUAAAGCGUGCGUAGGCGGCUUUUUAAGUCGGAUGUGAAAUCCCUGAGCUUAACUUAGGAAUUGCACUCGAUACUGGGAAGCUAGAGUAUGGGAGAGGAUGGUAGAAUUCCAGGUGUAGCGGUGAAAUGCGUAGAGAUCUGGAGGAAUACCGAUGGCGAAGGCAGCCAUCUGGCCCAAUACUGACGCUGAGGUACGAAAGCAUGGGGAGCAAACAGGAUUAGAUACCCGUGUAGUCCCUGUCUCUUAUAC
rnacentral:rRNA from 1 species